GAUUUCUGAACAUCAGUUUCUGGUCGGCCACGGUUUCGUGUGUUAGUGCUUGAAACUUUGUUCAUCCUUUCAAUUACUAUUUAUUGAUCUUCAUUGAUUGGUAAGUAGUAUUGAAUCUUUUACUUUGAAAAAAUUAGAGUGUUUCAAGCAGGCUUUAUGCUAUGAAUACAUUAGCAUGGAAUAAUAAUUUAGGACUUCGGUUCUAUUUUGUUGGUUUCUAGGACUGAAGUAAUGAUUGAUAGGGAUAGUUGGGGGUGCUAGUAUUCAGCGGCCAGAGGUGAAAUUCUCGGAUUCGCUGAAGACUAACUUAUGCGAAAGCAUU
rnacentral:rRNA from 1 species